AGCGGGACGGGGUGGGGGACCCAAGGAGUCCCAGGCUGCUGUGGCUGAAGAAAUGGCAGUGGAUGCUCACAGGCAAAAACGACCUACGUCAGCUUCUCAGAUCCUCUCCGUUCCCACUUCUCUUGCCUCCGUUUCUGCAGUCACUACCAUGCAGUCUCUCUCGCCUCCUUUUCUCUACCUCCUCACUAUACUAACUCUGCCUUUUACUGCCUCCCAAUUUCCACGCCCUCAAGCCUCCUGUUUACUUUCUCUUCUGAGCCUCCUCCUAUUUCUGCUUACUCUGCUGUUGUUCCUCUUUUACAGUCUCACAUUGAGUUCCCUGGAAGUGUAUCGAAUUGGGUCUGUUAGCAUCUAGGACAGAGUGUCCCUAUUAAUCAGCAGGGUCAUGGGAAGCCAGCUCAGAGCCACCAACCAGCCUCCAGAUUGUUUCCUUCAGGUCUGAUGCCUUUGCCUAGGAUGAUCCAGCAGGAUGAUAGAGCCACAUCUUGUGUUAUAAAUUAAGGGACCCACAUAGAAGGUGAUACCACUGGUGGAUGCAUGGCUGGAUGAAAACUCUAGAAACCAACAACCUCAGUGACUGAAGGAAGAUGAGUUGGACAAGAAAAAGUGAAAGAGGAGCAGCUAUGGUUCCCGCUGGAAGGAAACGGAAGACUUCAGUUCUCUGGAGGGAGCUUCUCCCGCAGCAUACAGGUUCUUGCUGGAACCCUGUUGCAUUUCCUCUGUAGGACACACAGGUUUAUCUAAGCUGUGAAAGCAACACAGAGAUAAGACCCAUGGUGUUUUCCUUGUUAGAAAAAAGCUGUCUACUUCCUGUCUGGAGAAACCAGGGACACUUGAUUUUGAAGGGACUUCAGCAAUGUAAGCACAAAAUCAGCCCCUUCUCUUUAAUUUAAAUUCCACCCUUCUCUUGGGUGACGGCUGUUUCUAAGUUAUUUAAAGAUUUAGAAAGUAGCUAGAAGGUCACUGGGUUUGUGGCGGCAUUGGCUUUUAAGCUUGUGCAAUAAAACCACAUUCGGCUUGUUCCCUAAGGUGAGGGCAGAAAUGACUGGACGGAAUGCCCACCUGCCCAUACAGUUUGAAGAGAACAGUCCAAGUUCUCAAAUAGUUCGAAACCUUUUAAGAAAUCAGAAAUAGUAGGAAACAUUGCAUCUGAAGUCACAGAAUAUGUUAAUAUUAACCCGUGUGGCUGGAAUAAAUGUGCAAGCUGAUGUGUUAA